rnacentral:tRNA from 1 species
GCACUGGUAGUUUAGUGGUAGACUUCUCACCUUCCAUGUGGGAAACCUGGGUUCUAUUUCUGGCAAAUGCA